GGAAGGAUGGCCGAGAGGCAAGGCUCCGGGGUGCUAACCCGUGGACGGGCCUGAAAACCCGCGCGCGUUCGAUCCGCGCUCCUUCCG
rnacentral:tRNA from 8 species